rnacentral:rRNA from 1 species
AGUGCUGGAGCGAAUAGAAGUGAGCAUGCAGGCAUGAGUAGCGAUAAUUAAUGUGAGAAUCAUUAACGCCGUAAACCCAAGGUUUCCUACGCGAUGCUCGUCAUCGUAGGGUUAGUCGGGUCCUAAGUCGAGUCCGAAAGGGGUAGACGAUGGCAAAUUGGUUAAUAUUCCAAUACCAACAUUAGUGUGCGAUGGAAGGACGCUUAGGGCUAAGGGGGCUAGCGGAUGGAAGUGCUAGUCUAAGGUCGUAGGAGGUUAUACAGGCAAAUCCGUAUAACAAUACUCCGAGAACUGAAAGGCUUUUUGAAGUCUUCGGAUGGAUAGAAGAACCCCUGAUGCCGUCGAGCCAAGAAAAGUUUCUAAGUUUAGCUAAUGUUGCCCGUACCGUAAACCGACACAGGUGGGUGGGAUGAGUAUUCUAAGGCGCGUGGAAGAACUCUCUUUAAGGAACUCUGCAAAAUAGCACCGUAUCUUCGGUAUAAGGUGUGGUUAGCUUUGUAUUAGGAUUUACUCCGAAAGCAAGGAAACUUACAACAAAGAGUCCCUCCCGACUGUUUACCAAAAACACAGCACUCUGCUAACUCGUAAGAGGAUGUAUAGGGUGUGACGCCUGCCCGGUGCUCGAAGGUUAAUUGAUGGGGUUAGCAUUAGCGAAGCUCUUGAUCGAAGCCCGAGUAAACGGCGGCCGUAACUAUAACGGUCCUAAGGUAGCGAAAUUCCUUGUCGGUUAAAUACCGACCUGCAUGAAUGGCGUAACGAGAUGGGAGCUGUCUCAAAGAGGGAUCCAGUGAAAUUGUAGUGGAGGUGAAAAUUCCUCCUACCCGCGGCAAGACGGAAAGACCCCGUGGACCUUUACUACAGCUUGACACUGCUAUUUGGAUAAGAAUGUGCAGGAUAGGUGGGAGGCUUUGAGUAUAUGACGCCAGUUGUAUAUGAGCCAUUGUUGAGAUACCACUCUUUCUUAUUUGGGUAGCUAACCAGCUUGAGUUAUCCUCAAGUGGGACAAUGUCUGGUGGGUAGUUUGACUGGGGCGGUCGCCUCCCAAAUAAUAACGGAGGCUUACAAAGGUUGGCUCAGAACGGUUGGAAAUCGUUCGUAGAGUAUAAAGGUAUAAGCCAGCUUAACUGCAAGACAUACAAGUCAAGCAGAGACGAAAGUCGGUCUUAGUGAUCCGGUGGUUCUGUGUGGAAGGGCCAUCGCUCAAAGGAUAAAAGGUACCCCGGGGAUAACAGGCUGAUCUCCCCCAAGAGCUCACAUCGACGGGGAGGUUUGGCACCUCGAUGUCGGCUCAUCGCAUCCUGGGGCUGGAGCAGGUCCCAAGGGUAUGGCUGUUCGCCAUUUAAAGCGGUACGCGAGCUGGGUUCAGAACGUCGUGAGACAGUUCGGUCCCUAUCUGCCGUGGGCGUAAGAAGAUUGAAGAGAUUUGACCCUAGUACGAGAGGACCGGGUUGAACAAACCACUGGUGUAGCUGUUGUUCUGCCAAGAGCAUCGCAGCGUAGCUAAGUUUGGAAAGGAUAAACGCUGAAAGCAUCUAAGCGUGAAGCCAACUCUAAGAUGAAUCUUCUCUAAGCUCUCUAGAAGACUACUAGUUUGAUAGGCUGGGUGUGUAAUGGAUGAAAGUCCUUUAGCUGACCAGUACUAAUAGAGCGUUUGGCUUAUCUUU